rnacentral:rRNA from 1 species
UGUCAGCCGCCGCGGUAAUACAGAGGGUGCAAGCGUUAAUCGGAAUUACUGGGCGUAAAGCGCACGUAGGCGGUUUGUUAAGUCAGAUGUGAAAGCCCCGGGCUCAACCUGGGAUGGUCAUUUAGAACUGGCAGACUAGAGUCUUGGAGAGGGGAGUGGAAUUCCAGGUGUAGCGGUGAAAUGCGUAGAUAUCUGGAGGAACAUCAGUGGCGAAGGCGGAUCCCUGGCCAAAGACUGACGCUCAUGUGCGAAAGUGUGGGUCGCGAACAGGAUUAGAUA